CAGCAGCCGCGGGAAUACGAGGGAUCCUAGCGUUGUUCGGAAUCAUUUGGCGUAAAGAGUAUGUAGGCGGCUUUGUAAGUCAGUUGUGAAAGCCCCGGGCUUAACCCGGGAAGUGCAAUUGAUACUGCUAAGCUUGAAUUUGGAAGAGGGUAGUGGAAUUCCUGGUGUAGUGGUGAAAUACGUAGAUAUCAGGAGGAACACCGGUGGCGAAGGCGGCUACCUGGUCCUAAAUUGACGCUGAGAUACGAAAGCAUGGGGAUCAAACAGGAUUAGAUACCCCAGUAGUCCCUGUCUCUUAUAC
rnacentral:rRNA from 1 species